GUCUCUUUGUAGUUUAUAAAUAAAGAGUCGGGCCUGCUCGGUGAAUAAGAUUGUUUUAACAGCUGCGGUAUUUUAACUGUACUAAGGUAGCAUAAUAAUUUGCCUUAUAAUUUGAGGCUAGAAUGAAUGGUUUGACGAAGGUUAAUCUGUCUCUAUUCUAUUUUUUAGAAGUUAAUUUUUAAAGUGAAAAAGCUUGUAUUUUUUAAAGGGACGAGAAGACCCUAUUGAGCUUAUAAUUUUAUUGUUAUUAGUGUUUUAAUGCAUAAGGUAACAUAUAAAUUUUAAUUGGGGUGAUUAAGGAAUAAAUUAUGAAUUAAGUAACUUCCUUGGUUUAAAUAUUGUUAAAUAAAGUAACCAAUAUUAUUGCUUAUAGUAUAGUUACCAUAGGGAUAACAGCGUAAUUUGUUUAGAGAGUUCUUAUUGAAAAAUGAGAUUGCGACCUCGAUGUUGGAUUAAAGUAACCUUAAGGUGCAGAAGCUUUAAGAGGUAAAUCUGUUCGAUUUUUAAAACUUUACA
rnacentral:rRNA from 1 species